rnacentral:rRNA from 1 species
GACGAACGCUGGCGGCGUGCUUAACACAUGCAAGUCGAACGGUAAGGCCCUUCGGGGUACACGAGUGGCGAACGGGUGAGUAACACGUGGGUGAUCUGCCCUGCACUUCGGGAUAAGCCUGGGAAACUGGGUCUAAUACCGGAUAGGACUCCGGACUGCAUGGUCUGGGGUGGAAAGCUUUUGCGGUGUGGGAUGGGCCCGCGGCCUAUCAGCUUGUUGGUGGGGUAAUGGCCUACCAAGGCGACGACGGGUAGCCGGCCUGAGAGGGUGCCCGGCCCCACGGGGACUGAGAUACGGCCCAGACUCCUACGGGAGGCAGCAGUGGGGAAUAUUGCACCAUGGGCGCAAGCCUGAUGCAGCGACGCCGCGUGAGGGAUGGCGGCCUUCGGGUUGUAAACCUCUUUCAGUAGGGACGAAGCGCAAGUGACGGUACCUACAGAAGAAGGACCGGCCAACUACGUGCCAGCCGCCGCCGUAA